rnacentral:lncRNA from 1 species
UUAGAAGCUUCAAGUGGCAAGUGGGUAGAUGGUAGAUGGUAGAGAAGAAGACCUCAAUUAUGAGUAGUAGUGAGUGUGCAAAAGUUAUGAUGGAAAUUGAAAAUACAAUGGGAAUAGCUACAAGACAAUUCCAAGAUGAAGUGUGCUAGCCCUUCAGUUACUAUGUUACUAUAUAUCAUAAGUGUGACAUAUAUUAUCUAUCCCCGUGCUGUAGGGUACACCCCACUAGUACCAUCUCAGGAAAAACAAAACAAAUAUUACCUAUAUCAAAAUUAAUAAUACUGUAAAAUAGAAUUCGAACAUGAAACAUGUUGUUACCA